rnacentral:rRNA from 1 species
UACGAAGGGGGCUAGCGUUGUUCGGAAUCACUGGGCGUAAAGGGCGCGUAGGCGGCUUUAUAAGUCGGGGGUGAAAGCCUGUGGCUCAACCACAGAAUUGCCUUCGAUACUGUAGAGCUUGAGACCGGAAGAGGUUAGUGGAACUGCGAGUGUAGAGGUGAAAUUCGUAGAUAUUCGCAAGAACACCAGUGGCGAAGGCGGCUCACUGGCCCGAUACUGACGCUGAGGCACGAAAGCGUGGGGAGCAAACAGGG